CGCUGUGGGGUGUGCUGAGGCGCUGCUGCGGGUGGGCCGCGGCGCCGGCUGCGGAGCCCCGCGAUCCUCGGUCGUUGAGGUGUGGCGGGGGCCCGGAGGCCCCAGGGCGAGUGCGGUGGUGCCAGGCACGUCAGUGGUGACGCAGGAACCGCGCCGGGACGGGGAUGUGAUGAACACUGGGGGCUGCUGUGCAGUGGGAACGUCGGGGAUCCAGCCACCUCGCCUGUUCCUGAGCUGUUCGGGUUCUAGCAUUGUUUUUUUCUAUUCCUGGCGAUUUGGGGGGGGGGGAAGCCCACAAAUCUUUAUUCCAUAUGACAUAGUGCCUAUAAUCUUGAAAGGGGUGGUGCAGGUGGGCCUUGGGCAUUGGGGUCUGAUACAGGAAGGUGCCAUAUUCCACAGGGUGGUAGGGUUUGAAAGGAUAAGGGAUAUGAAUUAGCGUGAUGGAAUCCUGUUUAGAAACUGGACUUGUACCAGGAGCCAUGUGGUCAGCUGAUGAAAUUGCUGAGCUAUGUUACGAGCAUUAUAGGACCAGACUCCCUAAGCAGGGAAAACCAGAUCCAAACAGGGAGUGGACUUCAAUGGCAGCUGUUGUCAAAGUGGAGUCUGCAGCCCAAAGAGAGGUUCCUGCUAGACCAGGGAAUCUGCAGGUAACAAAGGAGGUUGUUGCUAUGGGAACUGGAACAAAAUGUAUUGGCCAAAACAAAAUGAGAAAAACUGGAGACAUUCUGAAUGACAGUCAUGCUGAAACUGUAGCCAAGAGGAGCUUCCAGAGGUAUCUUCUCCAUCAGAUGUGCCUGGCAGUUUCCUACCAGCAAUGCAGCAUCUUUAUUCCAGGAACUGAAACAGGGAAAUGGAAACUCAAACCAAAUAUCAUAUUUGUUUUCUUCUCUAGUCAUACCCCAUGUGGAGAUGCAUCUAUUAUUCCAAUUAGUGAACCAGAGAACCAGGUUUCUAAGUCAAUGAAUGGAGCUGAUGCAGCUGGACAGUCAGCACAGUGUAGUAGUAACCAUGAUCAUUUGGGUCUCGAAGAUGAAAGGAAAUUGGACAAAAUGUCAAGCAAUCACAUAAUCAAGAGAUUGAAAAAUAAUGAUGGUGGUUGGUUUUCCAUGAUCACUGAAGACCUGCCUGUUCAACAAGUAUUUGUGAAACCAGAAGGCAACGCUAAUCCGAAGAGUUGUGAGUGUUCUGCACAGAUGCAAGCAGCUAACAAGACUGGCUUAAGCAGACUGAAGGCAGUAGAUGUUUAUAGAACUGGAGCAAAAUGUGUACCUGGAGAGCUGGAUGAUGCCAGAGUACCUGGGACAGGGUAUCACCGCGUGGGAUUAUUACGAGUGAAGCCAGGUCGUGGGGACAGAACAUGCUCUAUGUCCUGCAGUGAUAAACUGGCUCGCUGGAAUGUGUUGGGGUGUCAAGGAGCUCUCCUGAUGCAUUUCCUUCAAUAUCCAGUGUAUUUGUCAGCAAUUAUAGUGGGGAAGUGUCCAUAUAGCCAAGAAGCUAUGCGGAGAGCAAUUAUUGAAAGGUGUCAGCAUGUCUCAUUUUUACCAGAUGGUUUUCUCACUCAGGAGGUUAAACUGCUGCAAUCAGAUCUUCGAUUUGAACAUAGCCGUCAGGCAGUCCAGGAAGUUCAAACUAACAGCAAAAGAAAACUUGUUCCCUGUAGCGCGGCUAUCAGUUGGAGUGCGGUUCCUGAACAACCUCUGGAUGUCACCUCAGAUGGUUUCCGGCAGGGAACAACAAAGAAAGGGAUUGGGAGCCAUCAGAGCAGAUCCAAGAUCUGUAAAGUGGAACUCUUCCAUGCAUUCCAAAAGCUGGUGACGAGUAUUUCACAAGAGAAUCUACCAGACACUCUCCGGAUGAAGACCCUAAAAACAUACUGGGACUACAAGGAAGCUGCAUCAAGUUAUCAAGAAGCCUGGAAAGUGCUGCGCAGCCAAGCGCUGCUGGGCUGGGUCAAGAAUGCCCAGGAAUACCUGCACUUCACAUGAGAAUAAAAGCAACUGUGAAUACAUCAAAAUGCCCGGAAACCUAGCAGAUACCUGUGCUACUCAAGGGCCAGUAAAGAUGUCCUCUAGUUCCUGUGCUAUAAGGAGAUAGGACUGAAAAUGAAAGUAAAAUCAGAGAUAUAUUUGUUUUGGUUGAUUUUCACCCUGCCCUGUGCCCCCUUUCCCCCUCUAUUUAACUGUAGAGAAGAAUUAUUGCAUGUUUAGUUCUGAGCUUCAUGAAACAAUGUGCCUUCAAAAGUAAGGAAGCAGUGAUGCGAAUCAUCAUUUUUCUGAGGAUAUAAUUUAUCAGCUGUAGUCUGUUGAAAUGGAAGUUACGUCAACUGAAAUUGAAACAGUGCUAUGGAAGAAAGGCUUUCUUUGUAAAACUUUGGUGCUGGUUUUCCUUCCACUCUUGAUAACGUUGUGAUUGUUUUUGUGUUGCUGGGACAACUCUAAUGUAUAGAGUUUGCCAGAUGCCCCUUCACAGUUGAUGUGCUUCUGUGGACAGGAAAGACAUCUCCUGAAUUACUUGGUUCGAUCUUGUUCAACAAGGGGUUUUUAUUGAUGGUUGUUGGUUGGUUGGUUGCUUGGUUCAGGGUCUGUUUUUUCUUUUUUCUCCAGUGAUACGUGGUUCAUGAAAAGCAGGGAUGCCUUAAGCAUUUAUGUCAGUGUUUCCUGGCAAGUGUUCAUUAAUAGCCUUGCAAAGGUGGAAACACUGAUGGGGACUGUAAAUAGUCUCUGGCAGUCUUUGCAAUCUUUGCCUUUAUGCUUCAUUAUCAAAGAACAUCUGCAUGACAAAACAAUCCACAUUGCUAGCUGGGGGGAGGGAGGGGAACAACGGGUGAUCAUCCUCAAGCUUUCUGUCCCAAUUAUUACCUUCUGGGAGUAAUUUCAGGACUGUGUAACUGCUACUGAGCAUGCUCCCUUUCUGUACUUCUUCUGCUGUAACCUACUAUUCCUAAAGUAUCUGGACAAUGUAAUGGCAGAAUGAAAGAAAGUGGUUAAUUUGGAGUUCAAGAAUUCUUUAGUUAUUUGAGUUUUCUAUUGUUUGGUAUCUUACUGUUGUUUUGGACUUGAAAAAUGGGUACAGAAGUUCUCAAAACAGCUUUUACAGCCAACCUACAGAGUUGCAUAGGGGACUGGACAGUUGAUAGCAGAGACCGUGUUACAGAAGAUUUAUUUAUUUAUUGAGGGAAUAACAACAAACUUGAAUUGUGUGCGCGUAAGCCUAUCCACUUAACUCCAGCACUGACAUCCAGAAAGACCAGUUGAAUUGGUGAUGGGGAAAGACAUUAUGUGUGUUUGUAAAGGGCAGCAGAUUAUGGAGAAUGGUGACUUGUGUUAGUCAUCAGAGGCUGGAAGAUGGCCAGCUGCCAUUGCAGAUAUGCCAGUGGGUGAACUGCUAAAGAGAAAUUUUAGCAGUUACCAUCACUGAGCAAAUAGCAUCCCAAGGGCAGAGUCCUGUAGCUUAACUAAAAAGAUAACUGGUAAACUUCCAGGCUCCUGAAAUUUGCCUCUGUGCUUCCCUGAAAUCUUGCAGAAACUGUUCCUUAAUGUACCUGGUUUCCCUUCAUUAAUCGCCAACAAAGUCUGAAGUGAACCGGCCGACCAGACUGGAAUGUUUCCAGUACCUGUCCAGCUGCAAUAUUAAAAUGGAUUACAUAAAGCUUAUUUGUUCUGUAGUCUUGGCAUCAGACUAGUUUUGAGAUGAGCAGUUACAUGAUGUAAAUUCAUUUAAACUGAUGGUUAACAAGGACAACCAAACAAGUGGUAAUUGGAACAGCAGAGUUUAUGAGGGCAGCAGGAUUCCCAAGGCGUGUGUAAAAUGCUCUGCAGAGUGUCUUUAUAUUACCCAGAUAGAUGCUUGGAUAUCCCAAGCUAGUAUGGGGACCGAUCAUUCCUAUUUGCUAGAACAAAGAAACUGUAAUUCCUAAUUUGUAUGGGAUGCCUUUAACAGCUUUCCUGUUGAAGAAAUUGUUCUAUUCUCAAUCACAGUAAGAAAGUUGGGCAGACAGCCUGCUCAUUUUAAACAAAGUCAAAAGCAGAGCAUAGGAACAAGUACUUGUCCAGGUCUAAAUUAAACUGUCAUUAAUUUGAGUUUGAAGCUGAGAUUUCUUGAGACUAUGUGGUAGCAUCCCUCUCCCCCUGAAAAA